rnacentral:rRNA from 1 species
AACGUAGGAGACAAACGUUAUCCGGAGUUACUGGGCGUAAAGGGCGUGUAGGUGGUUACGUAAGUCUGGCGUGAAAUUUCUCGGCUUAACCGAGGCAGGUCGUCGGAUACUGCGGGACUAGAGGACGGUAGAGGCGUGUGGAAUUCCGGGUGUAGUGGUGAAAUGCGUAGAGAUCCGGAGGAACACCGGUGGCGAAGGCGGUUCUCUGGGCCUGACCUGACGCUGAGGAGCGAAAGUGUGGGGAGCGAACAGG